CGAGCAAUAUCUUGACCCAUUUCCGCUAUCAGAUCGUGCAUCUCUAACAUGUCAUGCACAAUAGUUACGAGACACUUAUCCACUAGAAGUUCUAUUCCAGAAUGCGCAGUGAAAUCACCAUCUUUUAGUACAUCUUCUAUCCAAUUUCUGCCAUUUCCUUUCAAGAAACAUGCAAUAUCUAAAAAUAUCCUCUUCUCCAUUGGACCUAAAUCAUUAUAACUUAUUUCUA
rnacentral:misc_RNA from 1 species